GACGAACGCUGGCGGCGUGCUUAACACAUGCAAGUCGAACGGAAAGGCCCUGCUUUUGUGGGGUGCUCGAGUGGCGAACGGGUGAGUAACACGUGAGUAACCUGCCCUUGACUUUGGGAUAACUUCAGGAAACUGGGGCUAAUACCGGAUAGGAGCUCCUGCUGCAUGGUGGGGGUUGGAAAGUUUCGGCGGUUGGGGAUGGACUCGCGGCUUAUCAGCUUGUUGGUGGGGUAGUGGCUUACCAAGGCUUUGACGGGUAGCCGGACUGAGAGGGUGACCGGCCACAUUGGGACUGAGAUACGGCCCAGACUCCUACGGGAGGCAGCAGUGGGGAAUAUUGCACAAUGGGCGGAAGCCUGAUGCAGCAACGCCGCGUGCGGGAUGACGGCCUUCGGGUUGUAAACCGCUUUCGCCUGUGACGAAGCGUGAGUGACGGUAAUAGGUAAAGAAGCACCGGCUAACUACGUG
rnacentral:rRNA from 1 species